rnacentral:rRNA from 1 species
UAACGCGUGGGUAACCUGCCCUUUUGUGGGGAACAACUUCGAGAAAUCGGAGCUAAUACCGCAUAAUAAUAGAGGAUCGCAUGAUUCUUUAAGGAAAGAUGGCCUCUGAAGAUGCUAUCGCAAAAGGAUGGACCCGCGUCUGAUUAGCUAGUUGGAAGGGUAACGGCCUACCAAGGCAACGAUCAGUAGCCGGCCUGAGAGGGUGAACGGCCACAUUGGGACUGAGACACGGCCCAAACUCCUACGGGAGGCAGCAGUGGGGAAUCUUCCGCAAUGGGCGAAAGCCUGACGGAGCAAUGCCGCGUGAGUGAAGAAGGCCUUCGGGUUGUAAAACUCUGUCCUUAUCGAAGAGAGGUAGGUAUGUGAAUAAUGUACCUAUAGGACGGUAGAUAAGGAGGAAGCCCCGGCUAACUACGUGCCAGCAGCCGCGGUAAUACGUAGGGGGCGAGCGUUGUCCGGAAUCACUGGGCGUAAAGGGCGCGUAGGCGGUUUAAUAAGUCAGUGGUGAAAACUGAGGGCUCAACCCUCAGCCUGCCACUGAUACUGUUAGACUUGAGUAUGGAAGAGGAGAAUGGAAUUCCUAGUGUAGCGGUGAAAUGCGUAGAUAUUAGGAGGAACACCAGUGGCGAAGGCGAUUCUCUGGGCCAAGACUGACGCUGAGGCGCGAAAGC